rnacentral:rRNA from 1 species
AUUGAACGCUGGCGGCAGGCCUAACACAUGCAAGUCGAGCGAGCGGCGGACGGGUGAGUAAUGUAUGGGGACUGCCCGAUAGAGGGGGAUCACUACUGGAAACGGUGGCUAAUACCGCAUACUGUCGGAUACCGCAUAUGGGAUUAGCUAGUAGGUAAGGUAAUCGCUUACCUAGUCGACGAUCCCUAGCUGGGCUGAGAGGAUGAUCAGCCAAACUGGGACUUGGACACGGCCCAGACUCCUACGGAGGCAGCAGUGGGGAAUAUUGCACAAAGGGCGGAAGGCUGAUGCAGCCAUGCCGCGGGUAUGAAGAAGGCCCUAGGGUUGUAAAGUACUUUCUGUCGGGAGGCGUUACCGACACAAGAAGCCCCGGCUAACUCCGUGCCAGCAGCCGCGGUAAUUAC